GAAAUGCGAUAAGUAAUGUGAAUUGCAGAAUUCAGUGAAUCAUCGAAUCUUUGAACGCACAUUGCGCCCGCCAGUAUUCUGGCGGGCAUGCCUGUUCGAGCGUCAUUACAACCCUCAGGCCCCCGGGCCUGGCGUUGGGGAUCGGCGGAAGCCCCCUGCGGGCACAACGCCGUCCCCCAAAUACAGUGGCGGUCCCGCCGCAGCUUCCAUUGCGUAGUAGCUAACACCUCGCAACUGGAGAGCGGCGCGGCCACGCCGUAAAACACCCAACUUCUGAAUGUUGACCUCGAAUCAGGUAGAAAUACCCGCUGAACUUAAGC
rnacentral:misc_RNA from 1 species